AUUGAACGCUGGCGGCAGGCUUAACACAUGCAAGUCGAGCGGAGAUGAGGUGCUUGCACCUUAUCUUAGCGGCGGACGGGUGAGUAAUGCUUAGGAAUCUGCCUAUUAGUGGGGGACAACAUUCCGAAAGGAAUGCUAAUACCGCAUACGCCCUACGGGGGAAAGCAGGGGAUCUUCGGACCUUGCGCUAAUAGAUGAGCCUAAGUCGGAUUAGCUAGUUGGUGGGGUAAAGGCCCACCAAGGCGACGAUCUGUAGCGGGUCUGAGAGGAUGGUCCGCCACACUGGGACUGAGACACGGCCCAGACUCCUACGGGAGGCAGCAGUGGGGAAUAUUGGACAAUGGGCGGAAGCCUGAUCCAGCCAUGCCGCGUGUGUGAAGAAGGCCUUUUGGUUGUAAAGCACUUUAAGCGAGGAGGAGGCUACUUAGAUUAAUACUCUAGGAUAGUGGACGUUACUCGCAGAAUAAGCACCGGCUAACUCUGUGCCAGCCGCCGCAGUAACAC
rnacentral:rRNA from 1 species